CGCGUAGGCGGCCGUUCAAGUGGAAGGUGAAAUCCCCCGGCUCAACCGGGGAACUGCCUUCCAAACUGAGUGGCUUGAGUCCGGGAGAGGUGAGUGGAAUUCCCAGUGUAGCGGUGAAAUGCGUAGAUAUUGGGAGGAACACCGGUGGCGAAGGCGGCUCACUGGACCGGAACUGACGCUGAGGCGCGAAAGCGUGGGGAGCAAACG
rnacentral:rRNA from 1 species